GAUGAACGCUGGCGGCGUGCCUAAUACAUGCAAGUCGAGCGAAUGGAUUAAGAGCUUGCUCUUAUGAAGUUAGCGGCGGACGGGUGAGUAACACGUGGGUAACCUGCCCAUAAGACUGGGAUAACUCCGGGAAACCGGGGCUAAUACCGGAUAACAUUUUGAACCGCAUGGUUCGAAAUUGAAAGGCGGCUUCGGCUGUCACUUAUGGAUGGACCCGCGUCGCAUUAGCUAGUUGGUGAGGAAACGGCUCACCAAGGCAACGAUGCGUAGCCGACCUGAGAGGGGGAUCGGCCACGCUGGGGCUGAGCCACGGCCCAGACUCCUACGGGAGGCAGCGGUAGGGAAUCUUCCGCAAUGGACGAAAGUCUGACGGAGCAACGCCGCGUGAGUGAUGAAGGCUUUCGGGUCGUAAAACUCUGUUGUUAGGGAAGAACAUGUGCUAGUUGAAUAAGCUGGCACCUUGACGGUACCUAACCAGAAAGCCACGGCUAACUACGUGCCAGCCGCCGCGGUAA
rnacentral:rRNA from 1 species